rnacentral:rRNA from 1 species
UACGUAGGGUGCAAGCGUUGUCCGGAAUUAUUGGGCGUAAAGAGCUCGUAGCGGUUCGUCGCGUCGGCUGUGAAAACCCGGAGCUCAACUCCGGGCCUGCAGUCGAUACGGGCGGACUAGAGUUCGGCAGGGGAGACUGGAAUUCCUGGUGUAGCGGUGAAAUGCGCAGAUAUCAGGAGGAACACCGGUGGCGAAGGCGGGUCUCUGGGCCGAUACUGACGCUGAGGAGCGAAAGCAUGGGUAGCGAACAGG